rnacentral:rRNA from 1 species
UUAAGGGUUUGUUUUUUAGAAAAAGCAGAAAGCGUGUAGAGGUAAAACAUUUAAAAUAAAUAGAAUUUUUUUAGUAAUAGUGCAAUAUUAAAAGAAGAAAAAGAAUUUUUUAUGUGAAGACAAUUUAUUUUUUUCUUUAACACGAAGGUUCUGGGAGCGAACAGGAUUAGAGACCCUGGUAGUCGAUACAGUAAAAGAAAGUCGCUUGAGUAGUACGGUCGCAAGAUUAAAAUUCAAAAAACUUGGCUGUUCAUUGUUAUUUAGAGGAGCGUGUUGCUUAAUUCGAUAAUCCGCGAGUUACCUUACCAAAACUAGCUUUUACAGGUGUUGC